CACGUAGGGUGCGAGCGUUGUCCGGAAUUAUUGGGCGUAAAGAGCUCGUAGGCGGUGUGUCGCGUCGGCCGUGAAAACCUGCAGCUUAACUGUGGGCGUGCGGUCGAUACGGGCAUCACUGGAGUUCGGCAGGGGAGACUGGAAUUCCUGGUGUAGCGGUGAAAUGCGCAGAUAUCAGGAGGAACACCGGUGGCGAAGGCGGGAUCCUGGGCCAGUACUGACGCUGAGGCGCGACAGCGUGGGGAGCAAACAGG
rnacentral:rRNA from 1 species